UGAAUGGAGAGUUUGAUCCUGGCUCAGGACGAACGCUGGCGGCGCGCCUAAAACAUGCAAGUCGAGCGGGCGUCUGGACGAAGCUUCGGCUGAGAUCAGACGCUAGCGGCGAACGGGUGAGUAACACGUGAGCAACCUACCUCGAUCACUGGGAUAACAGAGGGAAACUUCUGCUAAUACCGGAUGUGCAGGUCUGGUCGCAUGGCAGGACCUGGAAAGGCGAAAGCCAGAUCGGGAUGGGCUCGCGGUCUAUCAGCUAGUUGGUGAGGUAACGGCUCACCAAGGCGACGACGGGUAGCCGGCCUGAGAGGGUGACCGGCCACAUUGGGACUGAGACACGGCCCAGACUCCUACGGGGGGCAGCAGUUGGGAAUCUUGUGGAACGGGGGAAACCCAGGCACAGCGACGCCGCGUGGGUGAUGAAGGCCUUCGGGUUGUAAAGCCCUUUUCCGGGGGAAGAAGCUCCAUUUCGGUGGAGUUGACGGUACCCCGGGAAUAAGCCCCGGCUAACUCCGUGCCAGCAGCCGCGGUAAGACGGAGGGGGCAAGCGUUGUCCGGAAUCACUGGGCGUAAAGGGCGCGUAGGCGGGGCCUUAUGUCGGAGGUGAAAGCGCUGGGCUCAACCCAGCAAUUGCUUCCGAAACUGGGGCUCUUGAGUGCAGGAGGGGGGAGUGGAAUUGCUGGUGUAGCGGUGAAAUGCGUAGAGAUCAGCAGGAACACCCGUGGCGAAGGAGGCGCGAAAGCUAGGGGAGCGAACGGGAUUAGAUACCCCGGUAGUCCUAGCCGUAAACGAUGGUCACUAGGUGUUGGGGGUAUCGACCCCCCCAGUGCCGUAGCUAACGUGUUAAGUGACCCGCCUGGGGAGUACGGCCGCAAGGCUGAAACUCAAAGGAAUUGACGGGCCUCCGCACAAGCGGUGGAGCAUGUGGCUCAAUUCGAGGCAACGCGAAGAACCUUACCAGGGCUUGACAUCCCCGGAACCUACUGGAAACAGAGGGGUGCCCCGCAAGGGGAGCCGGGAGACAGGUGGUGCAUGGCUGUCGUCAGCUCGUGUCGUGAGAUGUUGGGUUAAGUUCCGCAACGAGCGCAACCCUUAUCGCAUGUUGCCAGCGGGUAAUGCCGGGAACUCAUGCGAAACUGCCAGAGCAAUCUGGAGGAAGGUGGGGAUGACGUCAAGUCCGCAUGCCCCUUACGCCCUGGGCUGCACACAUGCUACAAUGGACGGUACAAAGGGACGCGAAGCCGCGAGGUGGAGCAAAUCUCAAAAAGCCGUCCUCAGUUCGGAUCGCAGUCUGCAACUCGACUGCGUGAAUGUCGGAAUCGCUAGUAACCGCAGGUCAGCAUUACUGCGGUGAAUACGUUCCCGGGGGUUGUACACACCGCCCGUCAAGCGAUGAGAGUCGGUGGCACCCGAAGUCACUGGGCCAACCCGCAAGGGGGGCAGGUGCCGAAGGUGCGAUCGGCGAUUGGCGCUAAGUCGUAACAAGGUAGCCGUAUCGGAAGGUGCGGCUGGAUCACCUCCUUU
rnacentral:rRNA from 1 species